rnacentral:rRNA from 1 species
GAGUGGCGACCGGGUGAGUAAUGUAUCGGAACGUCCCUUUCAGUGGGGGAUAACGUAGCGAAAGUUACGCUUAAUCCCGCAUAUUCUGUGAGCAGGAAAGCAGGGGAUCGCAAGACCUUGCGCUGAUUGAGCGGCCGAUAUCAGAUUAGCUAGUUGGUGAGGUAAAGGCUCACCAAGGCGACGAUCUGUAGCGGGUCUGAGAGGAUGUUCCGCCACACUGGAACUGGGCCCCGGUCCAGACUCCUACGGGAGGCAGCAGUGGGGAAUUUUGGACAAUGGGGGCAACCCUGAUCCAGCCAUGCCGCGUGAGUGAAGAAGGCCUUCGGGUUGUAAAGCUCUUUCGUCCGGGAAGAAAUCGCAUCAGCUAAUACCUGGCGGGAUGACGGUUCCGCCUC